ensembl:snRNA LOC120102128 U4 spliceosomal RNA
AGCUGUGUGCAGUGGCAGUAUCGUAGCCAAUGAGGUUUAUCCGAGGCACAAUUAUUGCUAAUUAAAGCAUAAGCCAUUGGUGUUCUGUUCAGGAAGUUUCCCCCUGUGCCAAGUAUUCAAGGCUCUUCCCCACUUUCUCUUCUAUUGGAUUUAGCAUAUCUGAUUUUAUGUGGAG